CAAGAUUAGAUAGUUGGUAGGGUAACGGCCUACCAAGUCUACGAUCUUUAGGGGGCCUGAGAGGGUGAUCCCCCACACUGGUACUGAGACACGGACCAGAUUCCUACGGGAGGCAGCAGUGAGGAAUAUUGGACAAUGGGUGCAAGCCUGAUCCAGCCAUCCCGCGUGAAGGACGACGGCCCUAUGGGUUGUAAACUUCUUUUGUAUAGGGAUAAACCUAGAUACGUGUAUCUAGCUGAAGGUACUAUACGAAUAAGCACCGGCUAACUCCGUGCCAGCAGCCGCGGUAAUACGGAGGGUGCAAGCGUUAUCCGGAUUUAUUGGGUUUAAAGGGUCCGUAGGCGGAUCUGUAAGUCAGUGGUGAAAUCUCACAGCUUAACUGUGAAACUGCCAUUGAUACUGCAGGUCUUGAGUGUUGUUGAAGUAGCUGGAAUAAGUAGUGUAGCGGUGAAAUGCAUAGAUAUUACUUAGAACACCAAUUGCGAAGGCAGGUUACUAAGCAACAACUGACGCUGAUGGACGAAAGCGUGGGGAGCGAACAGGAUUAGAUACCCUGGUAGUCCACGCCGUAAACGAUGCUAACUCGUUUUUGGAUUUUCGGAUUCAGAGACUAAGCGAAAGUGAUAAGUUAGCCACCUGGGGAGUACGUUCGCAAGAAUGAAACUCAAAGGAAUUGACGGGGGCCCGCACAAGCGGUGGAUUAUGUGGUUUAAUUCGAUGAUACGCGAGGAACCUUACCAAGGCUUAAAUGGGAAAUGACAGGUUUAGAAAUAGACUUUUCUUCGGACAUUUUUCAAGGUGCUGCAUGGUUGUCGUCAGCUCGUGCCGUGAGGUGUUAGGUUAAGUCCUGCAACGAGCGCAACCCCUGUCACUAGUUGCCAUCAUUAAGUUGGGGACUCUAGUGAGACUGCCUACGCAAGUAGAGAGGAAGGUGGGGAUGACGUCAAAUCAUCACGGCCCUUACGCCUUGGGCCACACACGUAAUACAAUGGCCAGUACAGAGGGCAGCUACACAGCGAUGUGAUGCAAAUCUCGAAAGCUGGUCUCAGUUCGGAUUGGAGUCUGCAACUCGACUCUAUGAAGCUGGAAUCGCUAGUAAUCGCGCAUCAGCCAUGGCGCGGUGAAUACGUUCCCGGGCCUUGUACACACCGCCCGUCAAGCCAUGGAAGUCUGGGGUACCUGAAGUCGGUGACCGUAACAGGAUGCUGCGCU
rnacentral:rRNA from 1 species